rnacentral:lncRNA from 1 species
ACUCCCUCCGUUUUUUAUUAUAAGUCAUUUUAGAGAAACUUUUCUGUUCCAAAUUAUAUGUCGUUUUCGGUUUUCUAUGUAAAAUUUAUUAAUAAUUAAUGUUGUAUGACCAAUGGUAAUAUAUCUUAUAUUUUUCUAUUGGUUGAAUUGUGGUUAGGUAAAUAGUUAAUGAUGUUUUUGUUUAGAAAAUAUAAAAAAUUAAUGGUUUUCUUAAUCUACGUGUAUAGCUGUAAAACGACUUAUAUUAAAAAACGGAGGGAGUAUACAUUAUAAAUUUACAGGUUUUAAAAACAAUACUCCCUCCGUUUUUUAUUAUAAGUCGUUUUAGAGAAAUUUUUUUGUUUCAAAUUAUAUGUCGUUUUCGGUUUUCUAUGUAAAAUUUAUUAAUAAUUAAUGUUGUAUGACCAAUGGUAAUAUAUCUUAUAUUUUUCUAUUGGUUGAAUUGUGGUUAGGUAAAUAGUUAAUGAUGUUUUUGUUUAGAAAAUAUAAAAAAUUAAUGGUUUUCUUAAUCUACGUGUAUAGCUGUAAAACGAC